UAAUUUUGACACGCCUUAUUCCUUGUAGACCUAAACGAUGCAGGCUUUAUGUACCCUGAGCGUUCAGUCUGUUACUACGGCUAUUGAACGAAGCGACUCACUUCUUAACGACGUUUUGUAUAAUAAUACACUUUAUAAUUUACAAAAUAAGGUUUAAAAUCAGUCGCAAUGAAUAACUGAUGUACUUGUGUGUGUGUAACGUUCGUGUGCAGCCCUGCGCCGAUGCAGUAAACCCUAGGUCAGUACCCGCAUGCACUCAAGUGAAUGCAUUCGCGUCCCAACGGAUCAAAAACUAAAAAUCAAAUUUUAGCUUUAAAAAAAAUAAAAAAAUCGUGUUUUGAAAAUGUCAGUUAACAAUUCCGUAAUAUAUGAAAGUGUUAGGAUAUAUAUUUUGAAUCCUUUGUGUGACGCCAUGUUGUUUCGAGAUAAAUAAAAUUCAAAAUGGCGUUUUUUUGGCGUGAUGUGAUCAUUUCAUCACAAUACUCAACU